rnacentral:lncRNA from 1 species
UAUAACUCUUACCAAUUAUACACAAUACAUCAAUUUAGCAAGUGGACUUGAAAUGAAUUAAAGGUGAUAGCAACCAACGUGUUGCAUCAAUUGAUUAGUUAAAACAUCAAACAUGCAUGUAAUUUAAGCCAAGCCGCUAAUGAGCUUGUCCUGUUAUUUAAAAAAUCAAAGCAGAUAAAGAAAUACUCAAAAGAAGGAAAAGUAGUAAAUUAAUUUGAUUCUUAUUCUCUUUCUACGUACAACUGUAGUCAAAUGUAUGAUUUGGCAUCCAAGAACCCCUGUUUUCUUCUCAUUUUACAAUGAAAGAUUGGGCUGCUCCGCUCAUUGCCGCCGCGCUGUUUGCAUUUCUAGCGCCGGGACUGCUGUUUCAACUUCCAGGAAAGCAUAAACCGUUCGAGUUUAUGAACAUGAAGACUACUAUACUCUCCAUGUUUUUGCACACUGUCCUUUAUGGUUUGCUUCUUAUUCUGUUCCUUGUAGUUCUUGACAUCCAUCUUUACGCCUAAGAGCUAGCUAGCUACUCCAUGAACUUACCAAGUAUUAAAGUUUUUUCUCUUGUACUUAAAUUUAUAUGUGUACUCAUCAUCAUGUUGCUGCCAUUACUCCUCUAGCUAGUUUGUUUUCUUUCUUGUGUGGUUUUUCUUACUAAAGCAGGCAAGCAGCAGAGUUCUGUGAGUCAAAUCAGAUUUUAGGUGUUCUUUAUGUUCAUGCCGAGUUAAUGGAAAACUUGAAAUUAUGGCUUUUAGCAUGUCUAGAAAACUAACUCAACUACGACUGACCUUAAAAUAAGCCAUCAUCCCAACUACUUAUAUAUAAAAGUAAAAGGCACAUAAGGGGAGGUGUCAGUAUUCCAGACAUCACAGGGAGGGGAGCAAUUGCAGAUUUUUUUUUUUUUUUUGCACUUGCAGAUUUGUUAAUCAUGCUAAGAAUAAGACGUAUGUGCAACCAAAAAAGGGUUGAUCUAUUUGAUAUAUUAC